rnacentral:rRNA from 1 species
UGCGUAGGGGGCAAGCGUUGUCCGGAAUCAUUGGGCGUAAAGCGCGCGUAGGCGGCCCGAUAAGUCCGCUGUAAAAGUCAACGGCUCAACUGUUGAACGCCGGUGGAUACUGUCGGGCUAGAAUCCGGAAGAGGCAAGUGGAAUUCCUGGUGUAGCGGUGGAAUGCGCAGAUAUCAGGAGGAACACCAAUAGCGAAGGCAGCUUGCUGGGACGGUACUGACGCUAAGGCGCGAAAGCGUGGGGAGCGAACAGG